UGGAACGCCGGGAGAAGCUAGUCGCCCCGACGCGAUUAGAGCGGCUUUUGCUGAGUUUUUCUCGAUGGUUAUAUUCGUUUUCGCGGGUCAAGGCUCUGGGAUGGCUUAUGGAAAGCUAACCGGAGAUGGUCCAGCCACACCUUCCGGUCUUGUGGCCGCGUCUUUGUCUCAUGCGUUUGCGUUGUUCGUUGCUGUUUCCGUUGGAGCAAACGUUUCAGGCGGCCAUGUUAAUCCCGCGGUUACGUUCGGAGCUUUCAUAGGCGGAAACAUUACGUUGUUAAGAGCUAUUCUUUAUUGGAUCGCUCAGUUACUAGGAGCUGUCGUAGCUUGCUUGUUGCUUAAGGUAAGCACAGGUGGUAUGGAAACGUC
rnacentral:lncRNA from 1 species